GAUGAACGCUAGCGGGAGGCCUAACACAUGCAAGCCGAGCGGUAUUGUUUCUUCGGAAAUGAGAGAGCGGCGUACGGGUGCGUAACACGUGUGCAACCUGCCUUUAUCUGGGGGAUAGCCUUUCGAAAGGAAGAUUAAUACUCCAUAAUAUAUUGAACGGCAUCGUUUAAUAUUGAAAGCUCCGGCGGAUAGAGAUGGGCACGCGCAAGAUUAGCUAGUUGGUGAGGUAACGGCUCACCAAGGCGAUGAUCUUUAGGGGGCCUGAGAGGGUGAUCCCCCACACUGGUACUGAGCCACGGACCAGACUCCUACGGGAGGCAGCAGUGAGGAAUAUUGGUCAAUGGGUGCAAGCCUGAACCAGCCAUCCCGCGUGAAGGACGACUGCCCUAUGGGUUGUAAACUUCUUUUGUAUAGGGAUAAACCUACCCUCGUGAGGGUAGCUGAAGGUACUAUACGAAUAAGCACCGGCUAACUCCGUG
rnacentral:rRNA from 1 species